GCAGAGAGUAGAAUGGUGGAAAACAACAACCACAACAACACAAAAACAACAACAACAAAAAACAGUAAUCCUAUUGCCUCCACAUCUAACAGCCCAGCGACCCACCUUCAGCUUCUUGACCUUUGGGUUUAUUGCUACAUAUCUACAAGGAUUAAUGAACUGCUCUCAAGAAAGGAUAACUUUGAACUCUUGGAUAUUUUGUCUUUAAUGAGUGAUUUAUGUAGUUCAAUUAUCCAGAAAUAUAGAUUUGCUCACAUAGAUGUGUCUGAGCCUGAUUUAUUUUCAUUGUGAAUUUCCAUAAACCUACAGGCUAAAAUUGUAAAAUAUUUUAUUCAGAAGAGACAUACAAGUAACCAUAAGUUAUGAUUUAAAAAUCGCUAAUACUGUAAACUAGGCAAUUUACUCAUUUGUGAAUUAACCAAAACAUCUUCAACUUGACACUAAGACUAACAUCCCAAACUGUAAUAAUUUCCCAAAGAAAUACGUUUCAUGAUAUUUUUCAAGUUGAGGUUUUCAAGUUAAGACCCGAACUGUGUUCAGAAAACAUGCAUGUAAAUUGUAGGCCCACCUCCCGUCAUCAAUCACUCUUACAUGCAUAUGUAACUUUCAUUCUUUUAAUGUCCAAAUGGUGAGAACCCAAACUGAACAAAGAAAAGCCCUUAAUUCUCAAGAGUGGCACAACAUAUUUGUGUGUGUCGUUGUUGGAGAAAGUUAUGUUUAUAGUAAAGAAGAAUCUAAAUUAGGAACACACUAAGAUUUCCUUUUUUUCCAUUUUUUUUUUCCUUGUAUGACACAUGACAGAAGAAACAUGUUUUUAAUUUUAGGACUUUUUCUUUGUUGAAAUAAGUUGCGACAACAUCACUUUUAUGGCCGACUCAAUUCCAUGUCAGUUUUCAGGAAUGGAACUUCUAUUUAUUUUGAUCUCGACGCUGCCAGCAAUGGUUUUAAAGCUCAGUUAAAGAAAAGAUCCUUGCUUUGCAUGACUUGGUAAAGGAAAAUAUAAAGAUCCAAGAUUUAUUUUGGCACCCACUGUAAGUAGAGACAAACAAUAAUUUGGAAAAUUUGUGUAAAUGUUACCAGUAUGAAUCUCAUUGAUCUGCUUUUUAAAUAAGUAAUGGUAAGAAACACCAUGUAGCACUUGACUAAGAAAUACACAUCGGAAACAAAAUAAAAAAUCUUCCCAAGUAAGUUCUUAUCAUAUACUGCUUUCUGCAGUAUUAAUUAUGUGGUUGUUUUAAAAAUAAAAUACAGUAAACGAAUGCAAAAGGAACUGGCAGAGCUUAAUAAACCUCGACUCAGUUUAAACUCAUUGAGUUUAAUUUCAUUCUAAUUGGAGUAUCUGAAAUUUAAAGAAUAAAUUGUUUUAAUUUCUGAUAUAGUGUCUGUCAGGCCCCAAUAUUUGGUUGUUUUUAUUCCAAACAAAGAGUUAAGUUUAAAAGGUUUUAGUUUUCUGAAUAUUUUAAUUAGAAUUAUGUUAUCUGACUGCCCCCUCCCCCACUUCCCACUACAGUGCUAACUAGGUCAACCAGGGUUGUUUGGCAGCCUUUGGGAUUAUGGACUCCUUGUGUGGUUUCAUGGUUUCUUAAAAAAAAAGUUUUGUAACGAAACGAAACCAAACCAAAGCUAUGAUUCUCAAGGGUUUGUGGCUUGAUUGAAAUCUGAACAGGAAAUAUGGACUGGUGAUGCUAGUAACGUGACCAGCUGUCACAAAAACUUCCUCACACUCUAAGCGAAACCAGGAAGCUUCGUCAAGAGAGGGAAGGAAGAUCCCCUUACAAGAUUAGUAAGAGACUACAUUUGAGAGGAAGGAGGUGGAGCAGCAAACCAAGGUGCAAAGAAAACAUAGACAAUUCUAUUGCUGGCCCUAGUUCAUGAAACUGAAUUAUCUAUGAAUUUAAAUUCCUAGUUAAGCUUGUAUGCUGUCUCCACGAAUCAGCUGGUGUACAUCACGGAGCUCACAGGUUUUCUUUAUUGCCUGUAUCCUCCAGAGAAUUCAUUUUCUACAAGGUAUUUAACCUGGAUAUGCCAGUUUUCUCCUGUAUGCACUGUUCCUGCCUAAGUCACAGAGUCAGUCUCUGUCCAUUCCAGCCCACAAGGUAAGCAGCACUAAGCUCAGUACAGUGAUCAUUAAUGUAAAAAGAGAGAAAGGAAUCAAAUAUUGUAUGUGAUGGUAAAAGUAUUCAUGACAUGGCCUAUAAAUACCUGAUACUUGGAUCUUAUUUGCAUGAUACCAUCAUUUUUGGAAUGACUUUAUUGGGGGUAAUGAACAAAGUAGUGAAAUUGUAAAACAGGAUUGUCUGUACCAAAUGAGUUCCCUUCUCACUUUAAAGACCGCCUGUGUAAAACACAAUUUGAUUGGUUCUCUUAUUGUCUACAUAGGAACAUUGUCAUAUGUGGACAGUAAGUGUUUCAGUCUUUUUAUUAAAAGGGGGCAUACUGGUUUUUUGCUAGUUUCCUCAACUUUCUGAAACUUGUUCACAAACCUUCCAUAUUCUGCUUAAUUUGGUGGGUUUUUUUGUUUUUUGUUUUUGAGAGAGUCUUGCUUUGUCACCAGGCAG
rnacentral:lncRNA from 1 species